ACCCAGACUCCUACGGGAGGCAGCAGUGAGGAAUAUUGGUCAAUGGGCGAGAGCCUGAACCAGCCAAGUCGCGUGAGGGAGUACUGCCCUAUGGGUUGUAAACCUCUUUUGUCGGGGAGCAAAAGCCGGACGUGUCCGUCUGUGAGAGUACCCGAAGAAAAAGCCCCGGCUAACUACGUGCCAGCAGCCGCGGUAAUACGUAGGGGGCAAGCGUUAUCCGGAUUUACUGGGUGUAAAGGGAGCGUAGACGGCGAGGUAAGCCUGAAGUGGAAGCCCGCGGCCCAACCGCGGAACUGCUUUGGGAACUGUUUUGCUGGAGUAUGGGAGGGGUAAGCGGAAUUCCUGGUGUAGCGGUGAAAUGCGUAGAUAUCAGGAGGAACACCGGUGGCGAAGGCGGCUUACUGGACCAUAACUGACGUUGAGGCUCGAAAGCGUGGGGAGCGAACAGGAUUAGAUACCCGAGUA
rnacentral:rRNA from 1 species